AGCUCGAGAAUGGUUUCUCUCUCGGAGACGGACUCUCCGGUCUUCCUCUUUUCUUCUUCUUUUAACCAACACAGAUGACGAUCAAGUCCUCCCUCACCGAAUCAAUUUUUAUCACAUGUUUUGGUGGAAGAGAUAUCUCAAGUGUUAGAAUCUUAGACACUGCAGCUGAAUGCCCUGUCCGAAUCUUCCUCCCUAUUGCGCAAUUAGCUUCGUCAUGACUCUAGAUCUCUCGUUUGCUGCAACUUUUCCGGAUCCUAGUGUGAAACUUGUUAUCUUUAAAGGAGAGAGAGGCCAUGCCACUGACAGAGCCGAUGAUUGGAUCUCAGCCACCAUUCAAGCUAGCAUUGAAAAAGGAUUCACGGGCAAGCCUUAAAAUGUCUCUUAGAUCGGUUAGAUAAGAGAAGGACGAUUGCAGGGGGUGGGACAGUGCCUUAGCCGUGAAUAUAGAAUGGUGGUGAUAAAGGGAGAAAUGAGCAAAGAUCUUGUGGAGGGGUGCAGAGCCAUAUUGAUAGAGACAAAGAUAAGAACCCAAAGUGGAAGCCAUGGGGACUGGAGGAGAUGAAAUAGAGGAGUAUUUCAAGAGAGUGGAGGAAGAGGAAGAUCUAAAGCUUCCAGGCACCAAGGGAAAACUUGCCUGUGAAGUGGAGAAGGUGAUGGUUGAAGUUGUGAAAAGGGGAAAAAAAAUGUAACAACAACAAGAAUGGAUGCUUGUGUUGAAUUGGCCUUGCAAACAUACAUGAUACAUGUAAAUAAUAAUGCAAAACAGUCAAAAAGAAAAGAGAUAAUUAUUGUAA